GACCAUUUUGCUUGGCCUGGUGGUUAGAGUGUCCGCCAUGGAUGCGGGAGGUCACGGGUUCGAACCCAGGCAGAGUCA